CAGCCGUAAACUAUGCUCGCUAGGUGUCAGGGACGGUGCGACCGUUUCUGGUGCCGCAGGGAAGCCGUGAAGCGAGUCACCUGGGAAGUACGGUCGCAAGGCUGAAACUUAAAGGAAUUGGCGGGGGAGCACUACAACGGGUGGAGCCUGCGGUUUAAUUGGACUCAACGCCGGAAAACUCACCGGGGGCGACAGCAAUAUGUAGGCCAGGCUGAAGACCUUGCCUGAAUCGCUGAGAGGAGGUGCAUGGCGUAGACGUCU
rnacentral:rRNA from 1 species